rnacentral:lncRNA from 12 species
CCUCCUCCUCCUCCGCCGCCGCCGCCGCCGCCGCCGCCACCGCCGCCCUGUUGGUGCGGCCGCUUCCUGAUCAUGUGCAGCCGCCGCCGCCCGGAGCCCGGAGCCCGCGAGCGCCCCAGCCCGGGCCGGCGCCCCCGCCAGCGCCCGCGGCGGCAGCGGAGGAGCGGCGCCGGGAGUGAGCGGCUGCGCGGCGGCUGGGAGGGUGAAUGAAGCCAGGAGGAGGGGAAGGAGGAGGCGGCGGCGGCGGAGGAGGCGCUGCGGGGAUUGGGAUGCGCCCUGGAGCCCCGCUGCUCGCUCACUCUGGGCCGGGCCGGAGACUCCGCCACUCCCGCGGCCGCCGCCUCCUACGUGGUUCCAGCGCCGCGAGCAGGCCGGUCCCGCCGGGGGCAGGGAAGGGGCCGGCCGGGCGGAGCGAGAGGAGCAUCGUGCAGCAGCCAGUCCCCAGGGUGGUCCGUUCAAGCUGCGGAUUUGUUUGCCAUCACUCUAAGACAAUCUCCUCCUCCACGGCCACUCCAGGGAAGUGCAUCACAAAUCAGUUAUCCUAUUUCUGCUGAAGGUAUUUGUUGGAAGGGCUAAACGAGGUAAAACAUGUAAAAUACAUGACAUAUCCUGGUACGGAAGUGAUCAUUUAAAAAACUGAAUGCUGGGACACCUGCGUGGCUCAGCGGUUAAGCAUCUGCCUUCGGCUCAGGGCGUGAUCCUGGAGACCUGAGAUCCGGCUUCCUGCAUGGAGCCUGCUUCUCCCUCUGCCUGUGUCUUUGACUCUCUUUAUGUAUCUGUCACGAACAAAUAAAUUAAAAAAUCUAAAAAAUAAAAAAUAAAAU